rnacentral:lncRNA from 1 species
UUAAUAAUUGUUAUAGUUGGGUCUACCAACAAUAAUCAAACUCACUUAUAACCCUUAAAAUUAAUCACCAACAAGUAAAAGGAGAUAACCAGCAAUUUAAUAGCAACCAAAUGAAACCGUUACAACUCAAGAAUUGAGGUAGAGCAGAAAAGGUACAAGAUAGAAUAAAGAAAGAAGUAAGAGGAAGCUGAAAGAGGAACUUAUGAGAAUAUGAUUCUAACAACCCCUACUUCCUAUCAUCCAACGCACUUAUAAAAUAAAGGUAAAGAGAAAAGAAAACAGUAAAGGAAAAUAAAGGAAAAAGCGUGUUUUCUACUGUGACAAUUUCUCAUUCAACAAAAUGACGCAUUGUCACUUAAAACAAAAACUGCCCUUUCUUCAAUUCAAACUCCGUGAGCCGUUACUUCAUCUUUUUUCUUCCCUCGCUCUGUGAUUCCUUUUCUUCCUCAAUCCCAACUCCAGUUGGUUUCCUGUCCUCCUUGUUCCUCUCCAUAACAUCCCCCCCUUAAAACAACUUUGUCCCCAAUGUUCUAUUAGAGAUUGUUUCUCGCGCACAAGAUGAUCUGGGAAUGCAAGAACUGGGGUAUCCCUAUCCCCAAUCUUCUUCUUCAAAAGGGAGACAUGGAAUACCGAAUGGACUUGAGCUCCCGUUGGCAGCACCAAUUUAUAUGCAACCUUACCUAGUUUCUGAAUUACUUUGUAAGGACCAUAAUACUUUGCUGCUAGCUUCUUGUCGAUCCUCUUAGCCACAGAUGGUUGAGCAUAGCCAUGAAGUUUGAGAUAGACCUAGUCUCCUAGUUGGGAUUCCCUUUCAUUCCUGUGUUUAUCAGCAUAUAGUUUUAUUCGAGCCUUAAAUUGUGCCAAAUUUUCCUGUCGGAUAUGAUCAAUUUUAUGCCUCUUUUGAAAUAGAUUAUCCACUGCAGUGACAUCGAUCUACUGGUAAGGUCCCAAAGCUAAUCGUGGAGGUUGGAUGCCAUAAAGUGCCUCAAAGGGUGUCAUUUUAAUAGAGGUGUGAAGGGUAGUGUUGUACCACCACUCAGCUAGACUAAUCCACUUACUCGAUUGUCUAGGUUGUUUGAGAACAAUGCAUCUCAGGUACAUCUCUAGAGAUUGAUUUAAUCUUUCAGUUUGCCCAUCUGUUUGGAGAUGGCAAGCCGAACUCAAUUGUAACUUGUAACCCCCCGAC